rnacentral:rRNA from 1 species
CAGUCGCCGCGGUAAUACGUAGGUCCCGAGCGUUGUCCGGAUUUAUUGGGCGUAAAGGGAGCGCAGGCGGUUUAGUAAGUCUGGAGUUAAAGGCAUUGGCUCAACCAAUGUAUGCUUUGGAAACUGUUUGACUUGAGUGCAGAAGGGGAGAGUGGAAUUCCAUGUGUAGCGGAGAAAUGCGUAGAUAUAUGGAGGAACACCGGUGGCGAAAGCGGCUCUCUGGUCUGUCACUGACGCUGAGGCUCGAAAGCGUGGGUAGCGAACAGGAUUAGAUACCCCGGUAGUCCCUGUCUCUUAUACA